AAAUNAAACAAGUUUAUGAGAUAUAAAGGCUCAGUAAGUUAUUUUAUAUCUUUAAUUUAUUAAGGAUAAGCUUAAUAAAAAAAUAGGGAAAUAUAUCAAUUAAAUAAAUUAUGUAGGCUUGAAAUUAGUCAUCAUAGUAGAACUUGUUAAAAAACAAUUUAUAAAAUUGAAAAAAUCUUUAUAUUUGCUCUCCUGGCUGUUAUAAGGGUAAUAGAGAGAAUUAAUAAAUCUAUCUAUCUAUGCUAGAAUGAGUAUUUUAAAAUUUUUAAGAAGGUAGAAUAAUUUAAUAAUACCUAUAAUAAUAAUUGUUUACAAGAUGUAAAAUAAAAAGAAGGAACUCGGCAAAUAUUAGUUCCGCCUGUUUAUCAAAAACAUGGCUCUUUGUUGAGUUGAUAUAAAGAGUCUAACCUGCCCAGUGAGAAUUAUUUAACGGCCGCGGUACCCUGACCGUGCAAAGGUAGCAUAAUCAUUUGCCUUAUAAUUAAAGGCUUGUAUGAAUGGUUUAACGAGAACAUUGCUGUCUCUUUUUUAAUAAAUAAAAUUUAACUUUUAGGUGAAGAGGCCUGAAUAUAAUUGAAAGACAAGAAGACCCUAUCGAGCUUAAAAAUUAAAUUAGGGAUAGCUAUAAAUUUAGAUUUAUUACUAAGUUUAUUUUUUGAUUGGGGCGAUCAAGGAAUAAUAAAAGCUUCCUUUAGACAUUUUAACUUAUAAGUAUUGAUCCAGCUAAGGCUGAUUAAAAGAAUUAGUUACCGUAGGGAUAACAGCAUAAUCUCUGCUUGAGAGACCUAAUCGAAAGAGGGGGUUGUGACCUCGAUGUUGGAUCUAGAAUAUCCUAAAGGUCAGACAGUCUUU
rnacentral:rRNA from 1 species